rnacentral:misc_RNA from 1 species
ACUUACUCGUCUCUGCUGAUCAUUGGCUGCUAUGAGAAUCUGGAGCUUUGGAACAUGGCUGAGAACAAGACGAUGGAUGUACGUGCGCAUGACAAAUUGGUAUCUGAUUUGGCAGUGUCAGAUGUUACUGGCUUGGUAGCUUCUGCUAGUCAUGACAAGUAUGUCAAGCUCUGGAAGUGAUUUCAUCGCUCGCUCUUUUUGAGUCUUCUCACAUUACCCGGCGUUAAUACAUAGAUGAUGUAUGCAUGC